rnacentral:rRNA from 1 species
AUUGAACGCUGGCGGCAGGCCUAACACAUGCAAGUCGAACGAGUGGCGGACGGGUGAGUAAUGUCUGGGAAACUGCCCGAUGGAGGGGGAUAACUACUGGAAACGGUAGCUAAUACCGCAUAUCAUCGGAUGUGCCCAGAUGGGAUUAGCUAGUAGGUGGGGUAACGGCUCACCUAGGCGACGAUCCCUAACUGGUCUGAGAGGAUGACCAGCCACCCUGGAACUGAGACACGGGCCUGACUCCUACGGCAGGCAGCAGUGGGGAAUAUUGCACAAUUGGCGCAAGCCUGAUGCAGCCAUGCCGCGUGUAUGAAGAAGGCCUUCGGAUUGUAAAGUACUUUCAGCCAGGAGGCGUUAAUCGCAGAAGAAGCACCGGCCAACUCCGGGCAAGCAGCCGCGGUAAUAC